GUAACCGUGAGGUUACAUCUGAAGGAAGCGAGACUACAAAACUCGGUACUGACGAACAGGAACCGUAUACAGAGGCAUAUUUACUUGGGUAAGCAAGCACAUCAUUGUAACGCCCAAAAGAAUACCAAAAGUGUAUUAAUGUAGAUGCGGCAGGAAUCAAGUGAAAGAAGAUGUU
rnacentral:ncRNA from 1 species